rnacentral:rRNA from 1 species
UACGGAGGGUGCAAGCGUUAUCCGGAUUCACUGGGUUUAAAGGGUGCGUAGGCGGCGCGGUAAGUCGGGUGUGAAAUCUCGGAGCUUAACUCCGAAACUGCAUUCGAUACUGCCGUGCUUGAGGACUGGAGAGGAGACUGGAAUUCUCGGUGUAGCGGUGAAAUGCGUAGAUAUCGAGAGGAACACCUGCGGCGAAGGCGUGUUGCUGGGCUGACACUGACGCUGAAGCGCGAAAGCCAGGGGAGCGAACGGG